AGCUCCAAUAGCGUAUAUUAAAGUUGCUGCAGUUAAAAAGCUCGUAGUUGGAUUUCUGGGCUCAAGAAUUUGGCCGGCCACGGUUUCGUGUGUUAGUGCUUUGUUCUGUGUCCAUCCUUCCAAUUGCUAUGGCUAUUCUUCAUUGAUUGGUCAGUAGUAUUGGAUCUUUUACUUUGAAAAAAUUAGAGUGUUUCAAGCAGGCUUAUGCUAUGAAUACAUUAGCAUGGAAUAAUAAUUUAGGACUUCUGUUCUAUUUUGUUGGUUUCUAGGACUGAAGUAAUGAUUGAUAGGGAUAGUUGGGGGUGCUAGUAUUCAGCGGCCAGAGGUGAAAUUCUCGGAUUCGCUGAAGACUAACUUAUGCGAAAGCAUUCACCAAGGAUGUCUUCU
rnacentral:rRNA from 1 species